AUGAUUAUAGUUAAAAGAUAUAACGCCAUCUUAGCCAAGGAGGAAUUAUCAGUUUGAUUCUGAUUAGUCAUA
rnacentral:tRNA from 1 species